AAAAUAAAAUCAAAUAUCAAUGGGUGAUAAUGAAGACCCAUGGCCUAGGCUGGUAACCUCCAUUGCACUUAGGAGGGGUGUCCGCCUACGGUCGGCCCAAGUGGUCAAGCCUACGUCGUAGUUUGUGGCGGAGGGGCCUGCGUUCUAGCGGCGCCUAC